rnacentral:rRNA from 1 species
GACGAACGCUGGCGGCGUGCUUAACACAUGCAAGUCGAACGGAAAGGCCCUGCUUUUGUGGGGUGCUCGAGUGGCGAAGGGGUGAGUAACACGUGAGUAACCUGCCCUUGACUUUGGGAUAACUUCAGGAAACUGGGGCGAAUACCGGAUAGGAGCUCCUGCUGCAUGGUGGGGGUUGGAAAGUUUCGGCGGUUGGGGAUGGACUCGCGGCUUAUGAGCUGGUUGGUGGGGUAGUGGCUUACCAAGGCUUUGACGGGUAGCCGGCCUGAGAGGGUGAACGGCCACAUGGGGACUGCGAUACGGCCCAGACUCCUACGGGAGGCAGCGGUGGGGAAUAUUGCACAAUGGGCGGAAGCCUGAGGCAGCAACGCCGCGUGCGGGAUGACGGCCUUCUGGUUGUAAACCGCUGUCGCCGGUGACGAAGCGUGAGUGACGGUAAUGGGUAAAGAAGCACCGGCUAACUACGUG